rnacentral:rRNA from 1 species
UACGUAGGGGGCAAGCGUUGUCCGGAUUCAUUGGGCGUAAAGAGCUCGUAGGCGGUUCAGUAAGUCGGGUGUGAAAUCUCCGUGCUCAACACGGAGCGGCCACCUGAUACUGCUGUGACUCGAGUCCGGUAGGGGAGUGUGGAAUUCCCGGUGUAGCGGUGAAAUGCGCAGAUAUCGGGAGGAACACCUGUGGCGAAAGCGGCGCACUGGACCAUAACUGACGCUGAUGCGCGAAAGCUAGGGGAGCAAACAGG